rnacentral:lncRNA from 1 species
UUGGAAACUUAUUUAGAAAACUGAAAAGUCCUUGAAUACCAAGUGGUUUAGCAGGAAUUUCUUAAUGAGUUAAGUGUAAAUGAAUCAAAAACACAUGAAUUCUAUUUUCUGUAAAUAACACAUGGUUUUGAAAACUGAAAAUGUAGUAGGGGGAAAAAUACCUCCUGUGUAGUAUUGAAUCAGAUCACAGACGUGGUGGUAGUUCCUAAGCAGAGGGAGGUCUGCUUUAGAUGGAAGAUGAUUAUCUGUUGGUUCUCCCUGGAUGAGCGUACCAUUUCGCGCUUGACUGUUUGGAUAAAGUUGCUUUAGCAUGCUGUCCAAGGCUGCAUCUGAUGAGGCUAUCAGUGUUCUCAUUUCACGAAGGAAAUCCUGUUCUUUGGACAAGAGAGAAAGCAAUUGUUUUCACUACUGUAUGUUACUCAUAUGGGGCAGCCAUAGGACCUCAGAGAGGAGAAUAAUUGGGGGAAGUGUGGAGGGAGGGAGCAUGGAGAAACGUUGGUGAAACAGGACACCACAUUUCCCAGGAAGAAGCAUUCUGAAGGAAUGGCAGAAAGAUGAGUGAGCUGGCUUCUCAUGACAGUAUUAAAGCCUUUCACUGAUAUUGCCAAGUAAUGUGUCUCUGAGCAUUUUAAUUACAUAGUGUCCAUGAACUCCAGGUGAAAUGUAGGCUAUAGUUCUACUCAUAAAUAAGGUAAAAGGUUUUCUGUUGUUGUUGUUGUUUUGAUUUGGUUUUUCCCAACAGGGUUUCUCUGUGUACCUCUAGCUGUCCUGGAACUCAUUCUGUAGACCAGGCUAGCCUUGAGCUCACAGAGAUCCACCUGCCUUUUUCUCUCCAGUGCUAGGAUUAAUAUAAAGUUAAUCAUUACACUUAGCUAUGUGUUUAUGCAGCUAACCACCACCAUCCGACAAGGUAAAAUGUUUUCAUUGCAGAAAUUCAUCGCCAGGUUAUUUAAAUCUGUAUAGAAAAUAUACAGUAAUGGUGUACACAAGUUUUGAGGGGAGGUAAAAACAUGGUAAACUGUGCUAGAUGGAUGUGAACUACUUGUGAAUGUAAAGACCAUGCCUAAAAUGAAGUUCCUCUCUCGUGUAUACCAGGGAUUCUCUUGACUUACUCAUUGCACAAAGAAAUAGUGAUGGUUGGGGCUGAGGAGGUGGUUCAUUGGGUAUGAAGGCUUGCCUUGCAAGCAUGGGAGCCUGAGUUCCUGCCCCCAGCACCCAUGUAAAGAGCUGGGCAUGGCUGCAUUCACCUAUAACUCCUGUGGUGUGGGGAACAGAGACAGAAAGAUCACUGAGGCUUGCUACCCAUCAGCCCAGAACCAUGUUCAAUGAGAGACUCAGAUUCUAAUGAACAAGAUAAAGAGUGACAGAAUAGGAUACCUAACAUUCUUCUCUGGCCUCUCCAAUUACACAAUAUAGACUCAUCUGUAUAUACCACACUCACAAACACCAUGUGCACGCACGCAUGCAUGUACAAACACACAAGUGAUGAUCCUUCGUUCAAUACAGAUGACUCAUAGCUAUUUGCUUCAUAAUAAAAUGUCUUUUUUAACACAGUCUGUUGAUUUGAUUUUUAAAAUCUCCCUUCUAGGUCCUGGAGGCUCAGUGGUUAAGAGCACUGGCUGCACUUGCAGAGGGCCAGGGUUCAAUUCCCAGCACCCACAUGAUAGCUUACACCUAUCUGUAACUUCAGUUCUGGGGGAUGAUCUGGCAGUCGCACAGGCAUACUUGCAGGCAAAUGAACAUAAAUAAAUACAUGGUCUUCUUUCUAUAAAAACCUUAAUCACCCUAUUUGUUAUAAAUUCAGAGAAGGGGUGUGUGUGUGUGUGUGUGUGUGUGCGUGCGCGUGUGUUUCAUUGCUUUCAUAAAAUACCCUGAUAAAAGCAAUUUAAAACAGAAAGGGUUUAUUCUAUUUCACAGUUCAGGGAGAUGCAGUCCAUCAUGGUGGAGAAGACAUAGCAACAAGCAGAAAGGCUCUUGCUGCAGAUCCCACAAUCUUUACAAGCAGCAUGACCAUCUGGGGACCAAGUGUUCAAGCAGGUGAGCAGAUGGGGAGGGGGCAUUUCACAUCCAAAUUAUAGCAGCAUGGUUUUUACGAUUUAUAGAAGUCGUUUCAGACCAAAGUUUAACUGAAAAAAAGGAUAACUGAAAGUGGUAAGAAGAGGGUGAUUUGUGUUUUAUUCUUUGACAUUUUUCUAAAUACAUAUGUGAUGGUUUGUAUAUGCUUAGCCCAGGAACUAAGACAGCAUAGUAAGUACAAUCAACUUCUUCCAUAAAGAAAAUUCCAAGCUGUAAAUCUCAGAGCUUAUGUGAGUACACCAUUCUCUCUGCUUGGCCUGUUUCCUCUGCUUAGGGCUAAACUGGAAUGGGGUUGGGGGGAAUUGGCUGCAUAAACACAUAGCUAAGUGUAAUGGUUAACUUUAUAUUAGUCUAGCUAGGACACUCCUCUGGCCCUACCAUGUUCCCCACCAUACUGAAGCAGUGAGCCAGACAGAAUAGACUUUUGAAGACAGUUACAGUGCUAAUUAGGUGGAAGCAGCCUGGAGGUCUGGGGCAGGCUAUCCAGAAGGCAGUAUAUGUUUUGAAUCAGUGUCCAAUAUGACAUGAUUUCUCUCGUAACCAGGAUUCACAGGGGUGGAAAGGGAAAUGGUUCCACUCACAUCACCCCUAGUGUCCCACUAGGAUGGUUUUGCUCCCUGUUUCUAUGACCUCAGGGUCUGUUAUCCUAGAUGUUUUGGUUUCAUAGUAGGGAGUGCUCUUGCUGGAAGACACACCAGACACUCCAUUGCACUAGAAUCUCAGACUUGCCCCUGGCCACUUGGGCUUUUUUUUUUUUCAUUUUUUUUAAUAGAUAUUUUCUUCAUUUACAUUUCAAAUGCUAUCCCAAAAGUCCCCUAUACCCUUCCCUUGCCCUGCUCCCCAACCCACCCACUCCUUCUUCCUGGCCCUGGCAUUCCCCUGUACUGGGGCAUAUGAUCUUCGCAAGACCAAGGGCCUCUCCUCCCAUUGAUGGCCGACUAGGCCAUCCUCUGCUACACAUGCAACUAGAGACACAGUUCUGUGGGGGUACUGGUUAGUUCAUAUUGUUGAUCCUCCUAUAGGGUUGCCGACCCUACCACUUGGGCUUCUAAUGCCCUUAAGUCAACAGGCUAAGAAAGGAUAACAGUGUCAGGAGGGGUGACUGGUCCAGAUUUCCAAAGGGGACCUGGCUUGCUUCUCCACAAUAGAAGUAAGAGAGAGAGAGAGAGAGAGAGAGAGACAGAGACAGAGACAGAGACAGAGACAGAGCGAGAGAUUAUGUCUGGACCGCAGGAGAUCCUUUAGGGAGCCUCUUGGUGCUAUCAUGUCAUGUGAUUAGAGUCAAUGGGAACCUACAACAAGCUAAUACAGGCAGAGUGACAAAGGACACUGACUUUCAGGAAUGAAAGUAUGAGUCACUCCUCCAGGAAAAGUGUCAAGACCUUUGAGGGUAGAGGGAAUAUAGAAUGGGUAGUAGAGGAUGAUAGUUAUAAAUACCAGCUAAGGCCGUGGCCAAUUGCAGAAACAAGGAUUAUAAUUGACAUGGGUGUCUCUGUUGUAGCUUGAAUAAAAAUAACCUCCAUACCUUUGUAUAUUUAAUCACUUAGUCAUUAGUGAGUAGGAACUGUUUGAAAUAUUAUAAAGACUAGAAGGUGUGGCCUAGUUGGAGGAAGUGUAUCACUGGAGGUGGGAUUUGAGGUUUCAAACGCCCAUGCCAGGCCUAGCACCUCUCUCUCUUCUUGCUGCCUGUGGUUCAGGAUGUAGAAUUCUCAGCUACUUCUCCAGCACCAAGUCUGCCUGUGUGCUGCCAUGUUCCUCACCUUGAUGAUCAUGAACUAGACCUCUAAAACUGUAAGCAAGCCACCAAUUUAAUGCUUUUUUUCCCUAAAUGAUUUGUUUACUUAUUUUAUGUAUAUGAGUACUCUAUCUGCAUGUACACCUACGUGCCAGAAGAAGGCAUUAGAUAGUUGUGAGCCGCCAUGUGGUUGCUGGGAAUUGAACUCUGGACCUCAGGAAGAGCAUCCAGUGUUUUUUUUGUUUUGUUUUGUUUUUUUAAGAUUUAUUUAUUUAUUAUAUGUAAGUACACUGUAGCUGUCUUUAGACACUCCAGAAGAGGGAGUCAGCUCUCAUUAUGGAUGGUUGUGAGCCACCAUGUGUUUGCUAGGAUCCGAACUUCGGACCUUUGGAAGAGCAGUCGGGUGCUCUUACCCACUGAGCCAUCUCACCAGCCCGCAUCCAGUGUUCUUAACUGCUGAGCCAUCUCUCCAGACCUUAAAUGCUUUUCGUUUUUAAUAAGAGUUUCCCUGGUCAUGGGGUCUUUUCGUAGCAAUAGAACAGUGAGUAAGACAACAGUUUCUGUCAC